CCACUGGCGUUCGUUUGACUAAGAACCCAGGAAUACACAUAACAUCCCACCGCGGUUAAUCUUAUCUCUCCCAACGGCGUUAGUCUUCUCUCCCCUCCCAACUUCCUUCUUCCUUUCUUCCCGUUCACCCACGUUUGUUUGACCCAGAAAUGCCCCACUUUAAGUUUUCUCCCGCGUUUUCUCUCUCCUGACAUAUUUACCACACAACCAACCCAACUACCCAAAUAGUUAUUCGGUAAAUAGUCCCUAUUCACUUUCGUUCUUCCCACCGACGAACCUAAAGUUCUUCAUUUAUUCUGAUCACCGGCGGUCGUCAUCUCGGAUUUUUCGAUAGUUUGUCAACAUUCGCUCGUUGCACAGACGGAGAGGUGAAUGUGAACUUCGUGUUCUUCCCCGAACUACAGUGAAAGAAGGUAAACAAUUUGAAACCAAUGGCAAAAUAGGGAGUUUGCACCAGAUGCUCACCAAAACGCUUCAAUGAAUUUAUUUCAGAAUUACCGUUAAGAAUAGAGCACUACGAAACUCUUAAUGGCACCUGAUUUGGACAGUUACUUUCCAUCCCACCAAGCACCUUUGACAAGGCAGUUAUCAUGGAGAUAGUACAACAGUGGGACUCAGAAACCACUACAUUCAACCUAAGUGGUGUGUAUGUACCAUCCACUGACCGGGACAUUGCGCUAAUAUUGGGACUAAGGUUAGUUGGGCGUCCUGUGAUCGUGGAUACCUCCCUACCGGUUCCAGAGUUUAUUAAUCGUUUGUUUGGACUGACCGAUGAUUCAUCCUCACAACUGCUCUUGAGUACAGUAGAAGAAAAGGUCUUUAGUAUAGUGCAUGAGAAGUCAAAUGAGUCGAUUGAAAAUGUGGUGAAGUUGGUUCUCUUGCACCUAUUUGGUUCGAUGUUAUUUUCACAGGGGAGGCCUCAUAUGAGCCUUGUGUGGGCUAGUUACAUCAAUGAUCUGGCACACAUAUCUGACUAUUCAUGGGCACGGUGUGUGCAUCAAUUCAUUGUACAUGGCCUUAAUCGCAUUGUUGACUGCACAAGCAUUCCUAUGAACGAUGGCCAAAGGUCUUUUUCAAGUACAAUAUUUGGUUGGUUUGCUGCUACGAUGCCAUGGUUGUUUGAGCAUAGUAUAGUGUUUAGACCAUCAAAACCCAUUUCUAGACCACAGUUGAUGAGGUGGAGCAAAAUAGGGCACAACGGCAACUUCAAUAGGAUAGAGUUAAUUCGGAAAAUAACUACUGGAAUGUGCCCUGACAUUACCUGACGACGACGAUGGAGAGAUGCAAACUUCAUUUUGUGAUUCAUACAACCGUGCCCCACUCAUUGUUGUUGUGCCUGCCAAAGAUGAGCGAAUCUCAGGGCACAGUGCCAACACUAUUUCAUAUCGUUCCAGGACGUGGUGUGUGUGCACGCUGUGUCGAAUCGAUUGAGUUUGAGUAGCUUAGUUUGAAAGCAUCGCGAGCAGAUUAUUAUGAAGCUGAAGUUGGUCAACUACGGGCAGAGGUUGAAUGACUACGUGGGACAUUGAUAGCAAGUGGCAUCAAUCCUAAUGGCUUGCCUGUGCACACAUCUCCAGCUGUACCUGGUAAAAAUGUGCAUGUCAGAGAGGCAUCAAUACUGGAGGAUGAUUCCUUUACCUCACCUGAUACUAUAGAUAGCAUUCCUCCUUCGUGUGAGAUAGUUUCACCUCGGUCAUGGGUGAAGAAUGUUUAUAGAAGGGGGCACAAUGUGGGAAAGCGUGAACGCUUUCCUAGUAGUGUUGUUGUUUCCCCUUUCUGGCCCCCUGGUGAUAUUGGCAAGGUGGCUAAGAAAUUUGCCAUUGCAGCUCGUACCAAUGAGUUGGUGGUGGAAGGUGGGCCAUCAACAUGGGUAGCAUUUGCUCAAAAAGACAGAAUGGCGGCAAAUGAUUUGUAAUUGGUGCAUAAUUUCUUGCACAAGGAGAUUCGGAAGGACGCGUAUGUGCUUAAGAACGAAAAUUGUUUAUUAAGUGAAGCAAACCUCCUCUCCCUUUUAAGAUGAAUGGUUGGUUAUCUGAUGAGGUUAUAGAUGUGUACGACAACCUAUUGUAGGCAUGGAGUCACAAUUCCGUGAAAGUUUUGUACGUGCCUGCAGUGUCUCAGGGAUUUGCAACGAAUGGGAUGCUCGGGAAGCUGAAACCAUGGUUAGAACCAUGUGCAAAGAAGCGCGUGCAGAAAAUCUUCAUGCCCAUUAAUGAUCAAUAUCACUAGCAACUACUUGUCAUUGAUCUGAUACAGAAGAGGUUUCUCUCGUAUAGCUCUAUCCAUGGGACGGUCUACAAGGCGUUUACAGACAAAAUGGUAUGCAUCCUCAACGUUAGAUAAGUCUUGUGAUGUUGCAUCUCUAAAUUGGUAUCUUAACAGUGUUUUUUCUUUAUUUUAUUUUUUUAUCGCAACAUAGCAUCAAAUUUACAAGACAAUUCUCAGCGAUAUUAUUAGUGGCGUUGGUGGGUGGCCUUAUGAACCUACCAGGAAGGUGGAGACGAUUAUAGUGUUUUUGUUAUCAAGUAUAUUGAUUGUCUGUCUAUGUCGAAGACGUUUGAUUUCUCAUCGGUGCAUAUAAUCAUUAUUAUGUAUACGAUCUAAUGUUUUUGUUUUCCAUUAAUCCAAACUCAUGCACAUUUCGUGUGCUUUCAAAUCUAUGACACAAUUGGAUUAAAUCGA